CAGUCGAACGGAGCACUUGUGCUCAGUGGCGAACGGGUGAGUAACACGUAGGUAACCUGCCCUUAAGACGAGGAUAACCAUUGGAAACGAUGGCUAAUACUGGAUUGAAAGCAGACUCGGCAUCGAGACUGUUUAAAAGAUGCGAUUCGCAUCGCUUAAGGAGGGGCCUGCGGCGCAUUAGUUAGUUGGUAGGGUAAUGGCCUACCAAGACAAUGAUGCGUAGCUGGACUGAGAGGUUGAACAGCCACACUGGGACUGAGAACGGCCCAGACUCCUACGGGAGGCAGCAGUAGAGAAUCUUCGGCAAUGGGGGGAACCCUGACCGAGCGAUACCGCGUGAUUGAAGAAAUACUUCGGUAUGUAAAAAUCUUUUACAAAGGAUGAAUGACCUUAGGAGGAAAUGCCUAAGGAGUGACAGUACUUUAGGAAUAAGCCCCGGCUAACUAUGUGCCAGCAGCCGCGGUAAUACGUAGGUGGCGAGCGUUGUCCGGAAUUACUGGGUGUAAAGGGCGUGUAGGCGGGUUCUUAAGUCAGAUGUGAAAUCCCGGGGCUCAACUCCGGAGCUGCAUCUGAAACUGGGAAUCUUGAGUGCUGGAGGGGAAAGUGGAAUUCCUAGUGUAGCGGUGAAAUGCGUAGAGAUUAGGAGGAACACCAGUGGCGAAGGCGGCUUUCUGGACAGCAACUGACGCUGAGGCGCGAAAGCGUGGGGAGCAAACAGGAUUAGAUACCCUGGUAGUCCACGCCGUAAACGAUGGAUACUAGGUAUAGGGGGUUAAGAUACCCUCUGUGCCGCAGCUAACGUAUUAAGUAUCCCACCUGGGGAGUACGGCCGCAAGGCUGA
rnacentral:rRNA from 1 species